GUGAAAUUGUUGAAAGGGAAACGAUUAAAGUCAGUCAUGCUGGUAGGGAAUCAACUUGAUGGUAUGCGGGUUUUGACUCGUGUCCUUUCCGGUGCACUUCCUUACUUGCAGGUUAGCAUCAAUUUCGGUUAUCAUAAAAAAAUUGAGGGAAGGUGGCUUCUCUUCGGUGAAGUGUUAUAGACCUUGAUAAAUGUGGUGACUGGGAUUGAGGAUUGCAGCGGAUACCCUUAAUUACGGGCUAGUCACCUGGCUUCUGAUGGUUACCCUCAUCUUCGGUAGCUUGUUAACGUUGGUGGGACUCGAUCAUCUAGUCGUUGGAGUGAUCAUAAAUUCGCUAAGGAUGCUGACGUAAUGGCUUUAAACGAC
rnacentral:rRNA from 1 species